AUAUGUCAGCUUCCAUGAAUCGGGCCCCGUAAAGUUAAAAACAUGGGAACUAAAGAUUUAAUUCAAAUUUAACUUAGAUGACAACAUUAAGCGACAAUGGGAAAAUUACAACUAUUUAGAUAUAUGUAUAGGUUAUCGGCUCCUAGGCCACAGCCAACUGGUCUGCAAAGCUUUGGACAAAGUGAAUCGGAAAUCGAACUAGAUGGUAAUUCGGACAGUUCCUCGUCAACUGCGUAAACACUGAUUGAACAGGUUUUUCAAAUAAUCCAAUCAACAAAGGAAAAAAAUCUCGACUUAUGACUGGAUUUUUACGGAUGUGAUCAACUGCAUCGGUGGGAUACAGGUGUGGUUUCCCCUGCUGAAGCAGGUGAACAGACUCCACUUACCUCCCUUACCUCACCUGCUGACCAGUAGUGAUGGAUUUGCUAUGAGCAAUGAUGCGUUUGCAAUGGGCAACAAUGCGGUUGCUAUGAGCAAUGAUGCAUUGCAGUUGCUAUGGGCAACCUGUUACAGCCCGUGGAGAUGGAACAAGGGUGAUGUUGCCUAGCAGCCCCUAUGCAGACACAAAGCUCGAGCAGAACUAGAUGGCAGGGUUCCUGACGUUGCUAGGAAACAUGGUCAAUCAGCAGACGUUUGUUCAGACGAACGGAGCAGCGUUGAGAGGCGAGCUUCUACAGAAGAUAAUGAUUGGUUAAAGGCCUUGUUUUCGGAAAACUGGGCUUAAUGCAUGUGCGUAAAUUGUCAUUCUAGAUUUGCCAAUGCAGGCUGAUCACGGACGACACUUUCCGCAUUAACUGGAUUUUUGUUUAAAAAACAAUUCAUAUAAAUGAAAAAUUUCCUUAAAAGUUCAAAGUGUCAUCCCUAAUUAGCCUGCUCAGGUUUAUCUUAUAUGACACUUUAGGCACAUUCAUUAAGCCCAGUUUUCCCAGAAUGAAGCUCAUUUGAUUUAUAGUGUAUAGCAAGAGGGACAACUCCUCCUCCAUGUUGUAAAUUAUUCACUGUUUAAGUAUGAGUGACCUCUCCAAAAUAAAAGCUCUUCAAAUUCCAAACAUAUCGAAUGGAAAAUGAUUGUUAAAACGUUAUAUUAAGGUCACAAUAUACUAAAAGAUUUCUUUAACAAGUUCAAGCAAUAACUUUAACAAAAAACAAAGUCAAUGUAUUGGGCACAGAGACCCUCAUACCUUUCUUGAAGAGCAUUCCAAGCCGAAUAGAUUUAAACAAUAAAAAAUAUAGGUCAUGUGGUAUAUGAGGAGGAACUCAACGCAAAUCAACGGUCAUUGUUUUAUGGCCAUCUUUUUACUGGCUUCUCUCCAGUUCAUGAGGGUUUUCUGCAAUCUGUCAAAGUCUCAUGUAGUCUCCAACCUUAAAGCAAAACAGUGCAUUUGCUGAAUACAACACUGUUUGUCCUUUCACAUGCACACAGAAAUAUUCAAUAAUAAAGUCUGGCAAGUGCCCAUACAGAGAAUUGUGUCUUCAAAUAAAUGCUGUUUAUAUUUUUAAAGAGAAUAACAUUAAACACCAAAAAUAUUUUGUAUAAUGUAACCUGCAUAGAGAGAACAUAAUAAAACAAAGUAAAUAAAAGCAAUUAUUUUGUGAUUUAAUGGUACCAUUUGCGUACCAUUUGAGCUUGUAGUUAUACCCCCACAAAGGAAGUUUAGGGGGGGUAUAUAGGACUGAGCUUGUCUGUCUUUCUGUCGGUCGGUCCGUAUUCAGUGUCCGCUCUCUAAUUCAAGUUGUUGUCAUCUGAUCUUCACCAAAUUUGGUCAGAUGUAUCUAGAUGAUGUCUAGGUCAAGUUUGAAUAUGGGUUUGCCGGGUCAAAAAUAGGUCACGGGGUCACUUAGUGCAUUUUAAACAUUCAGCAUGGUGUCCGCUCUCUAAUUCAAGUAGUUUUCAUCCGAGCUUUACCAAACUUGGUCAGAAGUUGUAUCUAAAUGAUGUCUAGGCCAAGUUUAAACAUGGGCGAUGCUGGGUCAAAAACUAAGUCACAGGGUCACUUAGUGCGUUUUAAACACUGAGCAUGGUGUUCGCUGUUUUUUGUGAAGACAACAUGCAAAAUAUUCUGUGUCAAUGCGGCAUGGGGGGGAUAUUCGUCAUGUCUGUGACAAAGGACUAGUUUAUACAAGGUGAUUGCAUUUUCAGUGUUCCUGAGCCCUUGCAUUGGUGAUCAAAUAUUGAACCUUUGUCAACUUUGUUAAAGUCAAUUAAAAAGCUUUUGAAAUAAUCCAAUCGAAAAGUUCAGUUAAGUUUGAAAUAAUCCAAUCAAAAAGUUCAGUUAAGUGUUGCAAUGUAUGUUUAUGUGGUCUUCAUUUUAUCUUAAGAAUAGUUUGACAAUAAAGGCUCCUGUUUUUGAAAAUCUUAAAUUUUCUACACAACAUAUAUGAUGAUUUGACAUAAUGUCAUAUUAGAUUUUAUGUUAUCAUGUCUACUGAGAAAUAAUUGAAAUUAUUUUAAUUCGUUUAGUUGAUGCCUCAAAACCUCCAUAACAAAUAAAUAAGCCACGCUCUGAGAAAAGAAGGUUAAAUGCAUGUGCGUAAAGUGUUGUCCCAGAUUAGCCUGUGCAGUUUGCACAGGGUAAUCAGGGACAACACUUUUCUUCUUCGACACGUUUGCAGACUGCACAGGCUAAUAAGGGACGGCACUUUACUAACAUGCGUUAAACCUCCUUUUCACAUAGCAUGGCCCAAAUGUUUAAUUUGCAUAGUAAGCUACUUGUGCUAGUCUUAUUUGACCGAACUAAGUAACAGCUACAUUCACAAUCUGUACAAUACAUGUAUACCAGUAUUAUAUGUAUAUAUGUCAAUUCCUAACCACAAGGUCUACAAUACAUAUAUGAAUUUCUGUAAGUAUUCUGAUUUUUUUGUCUAUAAUUUUACAGAUCCAGCAUCUUUUAAUGUAAAACAUUUGACAGCAUAUUGCUGCAUGUAAUUAUUUAAAUAAAUGACAAAUUGUCUUUUAGAUGAAUUAGCAUUAUAUUUGAGCCGCUCUAAGGGUCGUCCCAGAUUAGGCCUGUGCUGUAUGCAAAUGAAGUAAGUUCUUUAAAAUAAAUACAACAGUUUAAACGAAAAGUGUCAUCCCUGAUUAGCCUGUGCUGACUUCACUAAGUCUUGCUAAUCUGGGAUAACACUUUACACACAUGCAUUAAACCCUGUUUUCCCAGAGCAAGGCUCAUUUGUAAAAGAACAGUAAAUACGUGUAACUUGGUGAAUGAAGCACAUAUUGCAAAUGAACGAGUUUUUAUUUUUGAUUGAAUUGAACAUGGUUUACAUUAAAACUCAACGUUUAUCUCUCCCAUGUUUUCUUUUCAUAAUGCGACAAAGAUUAAAACUUAGUCCCAUAUCAUUUCAGGGACGCUUAUGCUCGCUCCGACAAUCAAAUGCAGUUGUCUGCCCAUGUUAGCUCAUAACAAAUCCUCAGGACUGGGGCACGGUCUUUGUUGGAACACGGGACCAGAACAGUUGAGUCUAUCCCUGUUUGAAGUCACGAUAUCGAUCCAGCCCUGCCAACUAAUAAAAAGAUGAUUAGAUAUCAUCAGUGGACUAUUAGACAAUAUCAGUGGACUAUUACACAAUAUCAGUGGACUAUUAGACAAUAUCAGUGAACUAUUAGACAAUAUCAGUGGACUAUUAGACAAUAUCAGUGGACUGUUUGACAAUAUCAGUGGACUGUUAGACAAUAUCAGUGGACAGUUAGAAAAUAUCUGUGGACUAUCAGACAAUAUCAGUGGACUGUUAAACAAUAUUAGUGGACUGUUUGGACAUAUCAUUUACACAUUAAAUGUUGGCUUAAGGAAUAAGGAACACUUUAAGAAUCAGAAACUUGUACUAAAAAAAGUUUUUUUA